UGCCCGAGGGAGCGGGCUGACCGUUGGGGACGGGGAUGCGCGUGCCCGAUGGAGCGGGCUGACAGCUGGGGACGGGAAGAGCGCGUGCGUGCGUUGGAUACAAGGGCGAUGAGAAGAAGCUGAGAGAGAGAAAGCGGCAAUGAAAAGGAAAACUAAUGAACAUUGGAGGAAAGAAAAAUUGGAAUGACUCUGUGGAAGAAAAGCUAUGGCCUUUCCAGCAAUGACUCGUGAUGCAAUUGGGUAAAAACAACACGCUGAAACACAUGCAGUAGCGUUUCAAAGGGCAGAAGCUAUAAGAAAUAACUGGAUAUGGAGGUGGACUUAAUGAAAAUGAGAACCUUAAUGAGAUAGCACUGAUAUGCUGCACAGCAUCCCAUUUUUGAUUUCUUCUUUGUACUGAUGUCACAAAUCCAUGCUUAUGACGAAUAUCAUCUGAAGUUCAAUUGUAAGUUUCAUAAGCAGUCUGACUUGUACAGGAUUCUGGCACAUUU